rnacentral:rRNA from 1 species
GGUCAAGUGAAGAAGCGCAUACGGUGGAUGCCUUGGCAGUCAGAGGCGAUGAAAGACGUGGUAGCCUGCGAAAAGCUUCGGGGAGUCGGCAAACAGACUGUGAUCCGGAGAUGUCUGAAUGGGGGAACCCAGCCAUCACAAGAUGGUUAUCUUACACUGAAUACAUAGGUGUAAGAGGCGAACCAGGGGAACUGAAACAUCUAAGUACCCUGAGGAAAAGAAAUCAACCGAGAUUCCCUUAGUAGUGGCGAGCGAACGGGGACCAGCCCUUAAGUUGUAUUGAGAUUAGCGGAACGCUCUGGAAAGUGCGGCCAUAGUGGGUGAUAGCCCUGUACGCGAAAAUCCCUUUGCAAUGAAAUCGAGUAGGACGGGGCACGAGAAACCUUGUCUGAAUAUGGGGGGACCAUCCUCCAAGGCUAAAUACUACUGACUGACCGAUAGUGAACCAGUACCGUGAGGGAAAGGCGAAAAGAACCGCGGAGAGCGGAGUGAAAUAGAUCCUGAAACCGUAUGCGUACAAGCAGUGGGAGCCCACUUUGUUGGGUGACUGCGUACCUUUUGUAUAAUGGGUCAGCGACUUAUUUUCAGUGGCGAGCUUAACCGAAUAGGGGAGGCGUAGCGAAAGCGAGUCUUAAUAGGGCGUCUAGUCGCUGGGAAUAGACCCGAAACCGGGCGAUCUAUCCAUGGGCAGGUUGAAGGUUGGGUAACACUAACUGGAGGACCGAACCGACUACCGUUGAAAAGUUAGCGGAUGACCUGUGGAUCGGAGUGAAAGGCUAAUCAAGCUCGGAGAUAGCUGGUUCUCCUCGAAAGCUAUUUAGGUAGCGCCUCAUGUAUCACUGUAGGGGGUAGAGCACUGUUUCGGCUAGGGGGUCAUCCCGACUUACCAAACCGAUGCAAACUCCGAAUACCUACAAGUGCCGAGCAUGGGAGACACACGGCGGGUGCUAACGUCCGUCGUGAAAAGGGAAACAACCCAGACCGUCAGCUAAGGUCCCAAAGUCAUGGUUAAGUGGGAAACGAUGUGGGAAGGCUUAGACAGCUAGGAGGUUGGCUUAGAAGCAGCCACCCUUUAAAGAAAGCGUAAUAGCUCACUAGUCGAGUCGGCCUGCGCGGAAGAUGUAACGGGGCUCAAACCAUGCACCGAAGCUACGGGUAUCACCUUUGGUGAUGCGGUAGAGGAGCGUUCUGUAAGCCUGUGAAGGUGAGUUGAGAAGCUUGCUGGAGGUAUCAGAAGUGCGAAUGCUGACAUGAGUAACGACAAUGGGUGUGAAAAACACCCACGCCGAAAGACCAAGGUUUCCUGCGCAACGUUAAUCGACGCAGGGUUAGUCGGUCCCUAAGGCGAGGCUGAAAAGCGUAGUCGAUGGAAAACAGGUUAAUAUUCCUGUACUUCUGGUUAUUGCGAUGGAGGGACGGAGAAGGCUAGGCCAGCCUGGCGUUGGUAGUCCAGGUUUAAGGUGGUAGGCUGAGAUCUUAGGUAAAUCCGGGAUCUUAAGGCCGAGAGCUGAUGACGAGUGUUCUUUUAGAACAUGAAGUGGUUGAUGCCAUGCUUCCAAGAAAAGCUUCUAAGCUUCAGGUAACCAGGAACCGUACCCCAAACCGACACAGGUGGUUGGGUAGAGAAUACCAAGGCGCUUGAGAGAACUCGGGUGAAGGAACUAGGCAAAAUGGCACCGUAACUUCGGGAGAAGGUGCGCCGGUGAGGGUGAAGCAUUUACUGCGUAAGCCCACGCCGGUCGAAGAUACCAGGCCGCUGCGACUGUUUAUUAAAAACACAGCACUCUGCAAACACGAAAGUGGACGUAUAGGGUGUGACGCCUGCCCGGUGCCGGAAGGUUAAUUGAUGGGGUUAGCGCAAGCGAAGCUCUUGAUCGAAGCCCCGGUAAACGGCGGCCGUAACUAUAACGGUCGUAAGGUAGCGAAAUUCCUUGUCGGGUAAGUUCCGACCUGCACGAAUGGCGUAACGAUGGCGGCGCUGUCUCCACCCGAGACUCAGUGAAAUUGAAAUCGCUGUGAAGAUGCAGUGUAUCCGCGGCUAGACGGAAAGACCCCGUGAACCUUUACUAUAGCUUUGCACUGGACUUUGAAUUUGCUUGUGUAGGAUAGGUGGGAGGCUUUGAAGCGUGGACGCCAGUCUGCGUGGAGCCAACCUUGAAAUACCACCCUGGCAACUUUGAGGUUCUAACUCAGGUCCGUUAUCCGGAUCGAGGACAGUGUAUGGUGGGUAGUUUGACUGGGGCGGUCUCCUCCUAAAGAGUAACGGAGGAGUACGAAGGUGCGCUCAGACCGGUCGGAAAUCGGUCGUAGAGUAUAAAGGCAAAAGCGCGCUUGACUGCGAGACAGACACGUCGAGCAGGUACGAAAGUAGGUCUUAGUGAUCCGGUGGUUCUGUAUGGAAGGGCCAUCGCUCAACGGAUAAAAGGUACUCCGGGGAUAACAGGCUGAUACCGCCCAAGAGUUCAUAUCGACGGCGGUGUUUGGCACCUCGAUGUCGGCUCAUCACAUCCUGGGGCUGAAGCCGGUCCCAAGGGUAUGGCUGUUCGCCAUUUAAAGUGGUACGCGAGCUGGGUUUAGAACGUCGUGAGACAGUUCGGUCCCUAUCUGCCGUGGACGUUUGAGAUUUGAGAGGGGCUGCUCCUAGUACGAGAGGACCGGAGUGGACGAACCUCUGGUGUUCCGGUUGUCACGCCAGUGGCAUUGCCGGGUAGCUAUGUUCGGAAAAGAUAACCGCUGAAAGCAUCUAAGCGGGAAACUUGCCUCAAGAUGAGAUCUCACUGGAACCUAGAGUUCCCUGAAGGGCCGUCGAAGACUACGACGUUGAUAGGUUGGGUGUGUAAGCGCUGUGAGGCGUUGAGCUAACCAAUACUAAUUGCCCGUGAGGCUUGACCAU